UACGUAGGGUCCGAGCGUUGUCCGGAGUUACUGGGCGUAAAGCGCGCGCAGGCGGCUCGUCAAGUCUGGCGUGAAAGCCCCCGGCUCAACCGGGGAGGGUCGUCGGAGACUGGCGAGCUUGAGGGCGGUAGGGGCUGGUGGAAUUCCCGGUGUAGUGGUGAAAUGCGUAGAGAUCGGGAGGAACACCCGUGGCGAAGGCGGCCAGCUGGGCCGAUACUGACGCUGAGGAGCGAAAGCGUGGGGAGCGAACAGG
rnacentral:rRNA from 1 species